ACGGCCUACGGGGGGCAGCAGUGGGGAAUAUUGCACAAUGGGGGAAACCCUGAUGCAGCGACGCCGCGUGAGUGAAGAAGUAAUUCGUUAUGUAAAGCUCUAUCAGCAGGGAAGAAAAUGACGGUACCUGAGUAAGAAGCCCCGGCUAACUACGUGCCAGCAGCCGCGGUAAUACGUAGGGGGCAAGCGUUAUCCGGAUUUACUGGGUGUAAAGGGUGCGUAGACGGAGAAACAAGUUGGUUGUGAAAUCCCUCGGCUCAACUGAGGAACUGCAACCAAAACUAUUUCCCUUGAGUGUCGGAGAG
rnacentral:rRNA from 1 species